GGCCAGACUCCUACGGGAGGCAGCAGUCGGGAAUAUUGCGCAAUGGAGGGAACUCUGACGCAGUGACGCCGCGUAUAGGAAGAAGGUUUUCGGAUUGUAAACUAUUGUCGUUAGGGAAGAAAAAAGACAGUACCUAAGGAGGAAGCCCCGGCUAACUAUGUGCCAGCAGCCGCGGUAAUACAUAGGGGGCAAGCGUUAUCCGGAAUUAUUGGGUGUAAGGGGUGCGUAGACGGCAGCGCAAGUCUGAAGUGAAAUCCCAUGGCUUAACCAUGGAACUGCUUUGGAAACUGAGCAGCUAGAGUGCAGGAGAGGUAAGCGGAAUUCCUAGUGUAGCGGUGAAAUGCGUAGAUAUUAGGAGGAACACCAGUGGCGAAGGCGGCUUACUGGACUGUAACUGACGUUGAGGCUCGAAAGCGUGGGGAGCAAACAGGAUUAGAUACCCGAGUAC
rnacentral:rRNA from 1 species